GACGAACGCUGGCGGCGUGCUUAACACGUGCAAGUCGAGCGGAAAGGCCACUUCGGUGGUACUCGAGCGGCGAACGGGUGAGUAACACGUGAGUAAUCUGCCCCCGGCUUUGGGAUAGCCACCGGAAACGGUGAUUAAUACCGGAUACGACCACUUCUCGCAUGGGAUGGUGGUGGAAAGUUUCUUCGGCCAGGGAUGUGCUCGCGGCCUAUCAGCUUGAUGGUGAGGUAAUGGCUCACCAUGGCUUCGACGGGUAGCCGGCCUGAGAGGGUGACCGGUCACACUGGGACUGAGACACGGCCCAGACUCCUACGGGAGGCAGCAGUGGGGAAUAUUGGACAAUGGGCGGAAGCCUGAUCCAGCAACGCCGCGUGAGGGAUGACGGCCUUCGGGUUGUAAACCUCUUUCAGCAGGGACGAAGCGCAAGUGACGGUACCUGCAGAAGAAGCACCGGCCAACUACGUGCCAGCAGCCGCCGUAA
rnacentral:rRNA from 1 species